rnacentral:rRNA from 1 species
GGUGAACGCUGGCGGCAGGCCUAACACAUGCAAGUCGAACGGCAGCACAAGAGAGCUUGCUCUCUGGGUGGCGAGUGGCGGACGGGUGAGGAAUGCAUCGGAAUCUGCCCAUUUGUGGGGGAUAACCUCGGGAAACCGGGACUAAUACCGCAUACGACCUACGGGUGAAAGCAGGGGAUCUUCGGACCUUGCGCAGAUGGAUGAGCCGAUGCCGGAUUAGCUAGUUGGAGGGGUAAAGGCCCACCAAGGCGACGAUCCGUAGCUGGUCUGAGAGGAUGAUCAGCCACACUGGGACUGAGACACGGCCCAGACUCCUACGGGAGGCAGCAGUGGGGAAUAUUGGACAAUGGGCGCAAGCCUGAUCCAGCCAUGCCGCGUGUGUGAAGAAGGCCUUCGGGUUGUAAAGCACUUUUGUUGGGAAAGAAAAGCAGCCGGUUAAUACCCGGUUGUCAUGACGGUACCCCAAGAAUAAGCACCGGCUAACUUCGUG